rnacentral:rRNA from 1 species
GACGAACGCUGGCGGCGUGCCUAAUACAUGCAAGUAGAACGCACAGUUUAUACCGUAGCUUGCUACACCAUAGACUGUGAGUUGCGAACGGGUGAGUAACGCGUAGGUAACCUGCCUGGUAGCGGGGGAUAACUAUUGGAAACGAUAGCUAAUACCGCAUAAUAUUAAUUAUUGCAUGAUAAUUAAUUUAAAGGUGCAAUUGCACCACUACCAGAUGGACCUGCGUUGUAUUAGCUAGUAGGUGAGGUAACGGCUCACCUAGGCGACGAUACAUAGCCGACCUGGGAGGGUGAUCGGCCACACUGGGACUGAGACAGGGCCCAGACUACUACGGGAGGCAGCAGUAGGGAAUCUUCGGCAAUGGACGAAAGUCUGACCGAGCAACGCCGAGUGAGUGAAGAAGGUUUUCGGAUCGUAAAGCUCUGUUGUAAGAGAAGAACGGGUGUGAGAGUGGAAAGUUCACACUGUGACGGUAUCUUACCAGAAAGGGACGGCUAACUACGUG